UUUGUUAAUGUUUUCCAUAUCAGCAGCUUAUGAUUGCACACUGGCUCUUGUCGACAAUGAAUUUGUCUGACCAUUAACUGUAUAUUUGUGCGAAUUAAGGAAGAACGUCAAACACCUGGUGUCCAUCUAAAUACAAUUUGACUUGGAGCCACAUUUUACCAACCUUUAUGACAAAGGAAUAAAAAACAGAAAAAAAAAUUGACAAUUAUUUUUGAAAUAAAUCACGUCACAAAGGCCUUCUUUUAGAGCUAAAAAUUUGCUAAGACAAUCAAAAGGUCACGCCUUGGUUUAAGAUAUAUAAUAGAUUACCGUUUCACAGACAAUCUCGGACGUCACUCAUUGGUCUGCGAAAAUGAAGCCUGAAUGGAGGACUGGAGUUUACUCCGCCCGUCUCAGCAAUGUUCCAUUAGUAGUUUGACCUCAAACAGGAAGUCAAAGGGUCACCCCUGGUUUAGACAGAAGGACUGUCUUUAUUCUGUAUGAGGCUAUUUGUUGUGAAACUAGUAUCACAGCUGGAACUGGAUGAUUGAAGCAGGAGAGCAAAAUUAGCUGGAACCAGUCUGACCAUUCUCCUCUGACCCCCGGCAUUAACAAGACAUUUCUGCCCACAGAACUGGCGCUCACUAGAUAUUUUCUCCUUUUCAGACAAUUCUCUGUAAACCCCAGAGAUCAGCAGUUUCUGAAACACUCAGACCAACAACCAUGUUACAUUCAAAAACAA